CUACCCUUCGUGUCCGGCAUAAUCCUGGGAAACUGGGGAUAAUUCCGGAUAAGCCACAUAAGCUGGAAUGCUCUGUGGUCCAAAGCUCCGUGUGCCUGAAGGAUGGGUCUGCGGCCUAUCAGGGUUGUAGUGCGUGUAAUGUACCUAAUAAGCUACGACGGGUACGGGUUGUGAAGAGCAAGAGCCCGGAGAUGGAUUCUGAGACACGAAUCCAGGCCCUACGGGGUGCACGGGGCGCGUAAAGCUUUAUAAUUGCGGGAAACCGUGAUAAGGGAAUCUCGAUUGCCAGCAUAUAAUGUGGGCUUUCCAGAUGCUUAAAAAGCAUCUGUUAGCAAGGGCCGGGCAAGACCGGUGCCAGCCGCCGCGGUAACACCGGCGGCCCGAGUGUAACCGCUAUUAUUGGGUCUAAAGGUUCUGUAGCCGGCCAGGUAAGUCCCUUGGGAAAUCUGGCAGCUCAACUGUCAGGCUGCUAGGGGAUACUGUUUGGCUUGGGACCGGGAGAGGUGAGAGGUA
rnacentral:rRNA from 1 species